CUUUAUUACCUCCUAGGUGAGGCAGUCCAGGAAAACAGUUGCUAGAAGGAGCUAUUUGCAGAAAUAGACAGUUGUGGUCCUUUCACAUUUUAAUAAUUGUUCCCUGGAUUUCAAGGAGUCCAAAAUCCCCAUAAUAGAUUUUAGUAACAUUCAUGGACUGUCGGUUUGCAUAUCAUGAGACCUUUAGUGUGGUGUUUACUCUCUUCACCCUGAUAUACUUUGUAUCCAUGAGCAUCCUUGCUACAGUUGUGCAAAGAUGGCUAUUUUUUAUUCAGCAGUAAUUAGCCACAGGGUUGAGCACUGAGAUGCUUUCCUGCAGCUUCCACCUUUUCUCU